rnacentral:rRNA from 1 species
UAGGGAAUAUUGGGCAAUGGGCGAAAGCCUGACCCAGCGAUGCCGCGUGUGUGAAGAAGGCCUUAGGGUUGUAAAGCACUUUCAGCAGCGAAGAAAUGUCGUUAGUUAAUACCUUUCGGCUUUGACGUUAACUGCAGAAGAAGUACCGGCUAACUCCGUGCCAGCAGCCGCGGUAAUACGGAGGGUACGAACGUUAAUCGGAAUUACUGGGCGUAAAGCGCGCGUAGGCGGUUCGUUAAGUGGGAUGUGAAAGCCCCGGGCUCAACCUGGGAACUGCAUUCCAAACUGGCGAGCUAGAGUAUGGUAGAGGGAGGUAGAAUUUCCUGUGUAGCGGUGAAAUGCGUAGAUAUAGGAAGGAAUACCGGUGGCGAAGGCGGCCUCCUGGACCAAUACUGACGCUGAGGUGCGAAAGCGUGGGGAGCAAACAGGAUUAGAUACCCCCGUAGUCC